UACGUAGGGUGCAAGCGUUGUCCGGAAUUAUUGGGCGUAAAGAGCGCGCAGGCGGUCGAUCAAGUCGAGUGUGAAAGCCCCCGGCUCAACUGGGGAGGGUCAUUCGAUACUGAUCGACUCGAAGGCAGGAGAGGGUAGUGGAAUUCCCGGUGUAGUGGUGAAAUGCGUAGAUAUCGGGAGGAACACCAGUGGCGAAGGCGACUACCUGGCCUGUUCUUGACGCUGAGGCGCGAAAGCUAGGGGAGCAAACGGG
rnacentral:rRNA from 1 species